rnacentral:rRNA from 1 species
GAUGAACGCUGGCGGCGUGCCUAAUACAUGCAAGUCGAGCGAACGGACGAGAAGCUUGCUUCUCUGAUGUUAGCGGCGGACGGGUGAGUAACACGUGGAUAACCUACCUAUAAGACUGGGAUAACUUCGGGAAACCGGAGCUAAUACCGGAUAAUAUUUUGAACCGCAUGGUUCAAAAGUGAAAGACGGUCUUGCUGUCACUUAUAGAUGGAUCCGCGCUGCAUUAGCUAGUUGGUAAGGUAACGGCUUACCAAGGCAACGAUGCAUAGCCGACCUGAGAGGGUGAUCGGCCACACUGGAACUGAGACCCGGUCCAGACUCCUACGGGAGGCAGCAGUAGGGAAUCUUCCGCAAUGGGCGAAAGCCUGACGGAGCAACGCCGCGUGAGUGAUGAAGGUCUUCGGAUCGUAAAACUCUGUUAUUAGGGAAGAACAUAUGCGUAAGUAACUGUGCACAUCUUGACGGUACCUAAUCAGAAAGCCACGGCUAACUACGUG